rnacentral:lncRNA from 1 species
UAUUUUUUUAUACUGAAUGAUUCAUAAGUCAAUGGCAUGAAUAGAUGUAUUCUAAAGUAAACAUAAAGUGUGUUAUGAAUGUAGGUCUAAAAAAGCUUAUUUACCUAGUUAUGCUACAAAAUUAUAGAUCACAGAAAAUACAUCAUCAUGCUCAUAUCUGUGUAACAGGAUGGACAGUACUCAGAGAAGAAAAAAAAUAUUUGUGCAAGUUCUCAAGAAAAAAUAUAAUGCUUUUACACAAUAAUUCCAAUAUGAAAAAAGUCAGUACUAGUUUGCAAUAAAAAUAAAAACCCUUAUUUAUUGUAACAUUCUCAGCAAUAUAUAAAAGAAUGAAAUUACAUAUUUCAAAAUUCAUAAAAAAGAGUUAAUAUUCACGCACGUUUGUCAAUG